rnacentral:rRNA from 1 species
UACGAGGGGUGCAAGCGUUGCUCGGAAUUAUUGGGCGUAAAGGGCAAGUAGGUGGUCUCAUUUGUCUGGGGUGAAAGCCUUGAGCUUAACUCAAGAAGUGCCCCGGAAACGGUGAGACUCGAGUACUGGAGAGGGUCGUGGAAUUCCCGGUGUAGCGGUGAAAUGCGUAGAGAUCGGGAGGAACACCAGAGGCGAAGGCGGCGACCUGGACAGUCACUGACACUCAACUGCGAAAGCGUGGGGAGCAAACAGG